GCCUUUAAAGUUUAAACGCUUUAGCUUUACUUUCCUGGGCAGCUUCGUGAAUACUUUCACUAGAGCCUUCAUCACAUGAUUCACAUCCUCAUUUCUCCGGAAAAUUCUCAUGGAGCGAGAUUUAAAAGCAGCAAAAGCCUCGUAUCUCUCAAUCUUAUUCUGAUCGAUGCGAUAGAUAAAUAAGAUCAAUCUCUCAUCGAUCACCCCAGCUUGACAGGUUGAAACGGUCGCAGUCUCCGAUGACAAAAGGAUGGACUUUUUUCGGUACUGGUGCUGCUUCGGAUGAGGAUCAUGAUGUAUGGCGUUGGGGGGAGGCAAUUAUAAGUGGUUCAUCUGGUAGGGCUCGGUAUGACGUGUUUUUGAGCUUUAGAGGCGAAGACACUAGAGCGACUUUCACCUCACAUCUCUACUCCUCUCUAUCGAGCGCUGGAAUUCAUGUUUUCAAAGAUGAUGCGGUCCUUCCCAGAGGGAAUCCUCUCUCAAGUGAAUUGUCACGAGGAAUUGAACUUUCCACAAUUUCAAUCAUUAUCUUCUCCAAAGAAUAUGCUGGUUCUAGAUGGUGCCUUAACGAGCUCUCACAAAUCAUGGAGCUUCACAGGGCACAGGGUCGAGUUGUUCUGCCUGUG